UUUUCGGAGAGUUUGAUCCUGGCUCAGGACGAACGCUGGCGGCGUGCCUAAUACAUGCAAGUCGAGCGAACAGAAGGGAGCUUGCUCCCGGAUGUUAGCGGCGGACGGGUGAGUAACACGUGGGUAACCUGCCUGUAAGACUGGGAUAACUCCGGGAAACCGGAGCUAAUACCGGAUAGUUCCUUGAACCGCAUGGUUCAAGGAUGAAAGACGGUUUCGGCUGUCACUUACAGAUGGACCCGCGGCGCAUUAGCUAGUUGGUGGGGUAAUGGCUCACCAAGGCGACGAUGCGUAGCCGACCUGAGAGGGUGAUCGGCCACACUGGGACUGAGACACGGCCCAGACUCCUACG
rnacentral:rRNA from 1 species